rnacentral:rRNA from 1 species
CGUGUAGGCGGCUUGACAAGUCAGAUGUGAAAUCCCUGGGCUUAACCUAGGAAGUGCAUUUGAAACUGUUUGGCUGGAGUAAGGGAGAGGAAAGUGGAAUUCCUGGUGUAGAGGUGAAAUUCGUAGAUAUCAGGAGGAACACCGGUGGCGAAGGCGACUUUCUGGCCCUAUACUGACGCUGAGACGCGAAAGCGUGGGUAGCAAACAG